rnacentral:rRNA from 1 species
GACGAACGCUGGCGGCGUGCUUAACACAUGCAAGUCGAACGGAAAGGCCCUGCUUUUGUGGGGUGCUCGAGUGGCGAACGGGUGAGUAACACGUGAGUAACCUGCCCUUGACUUUGGGAUAACUUCAGGAAACUGGGGCUAAUACCGGAUAGGAGCUCCUGCUGCAUGGUGGGGGUUGGAAAGUUUCGGCGGUUGGGGAUGGACUCGCGGCUUAUCAGCUUGUUGGUGGGGUAGUGGCUUACCAAGGCUUUGACGGGUAGCCGGCCUGAGAGGGUGACCGGCCACAUUGGGACUGAGAUACGGCCCAGACUCCUACGGGAGGCAGCAGUGGGGAAUAUUGCACAAUGGGCGGGAGCCUGAUGCAGCGGCGCCGCGUGCGGGAUGACGGCCUUCGGGUUGUGAACCGCUUUCGCCUGUGACGAAGCGUGAGUGACGGUAAUGGGUAAAGAAGCACCGGCUAACUACGUG